GACGAACGCUGGCGGCGUGCUUAACACAUGCAAGUCGAACGAUGAAGCCUUUCGGGGUGGAUUAGUGGCGAACGGGUGAGUAACACGUGGGCAAUCUGCCCUGUACUUUGGGAUAAGCCUUGGAAACGGGGUCUAAUACCGGAUAUCGCUUACCUCCGCAUGGGGGUUUGUUGAAAGUUCUGGCGGUACAGGAUGAGCCCGCGGCCUAUCAGCUUGUUGGUGGGGUAUGGCCUACCAAGGCGACGACGGGUAGCCGGCCUGAGAGGGUGACCGGCCACACUGGGACUGAGACACGGCCCAGACUCCUACGGGAGGCAGCAGUGGGGAAUAUUGCACAAUGGGCGAAAGCCUGAUGCAGCGACGCCGCGUGAGGGAUGACGGCCU
rnacentral:rRNA from 1 species